rnacentral:rRNA from 1 species
GUACACUCCUGCGGGAGGCAGCAGUGGGGAAUAUUGGACAAUGGGCGCAAGCCUGAUCCAGCCAUGCCGCGUGAGUGAUGAAGGCCCUAGGGUUGUAAAGCUCUUUCACCGGUGAAGAUAAUGACGGUAACCGGAGAAGAAGCCCCGGCUAACUUCGUGCCAGCAGCCGCGGUAAUACGAAGGGGGCUAGCGUUGUUCGGAUUUACUGGGCGUAAAGCGCACGUAGGCGGACUAUUAAGUCAGGGGUGAAAUCCCGGGGCUCAACCCCGGAACUGCCUUUGAUACUGGUAGUCUUGAGUUCGAGAGAGGUGAGUGGAAUUCCGAGUGUAGAGGUGAAAUUCGUAGAUAUUCGGAGGAACACCAGUGGCGAAGGCGGCUCACUGGCUCGAUACUGACGCUGAGGUGCGAAAGCGUGGGGAGCAAACAGGAUUAGAAACCCUGGUAGUCCCUUGA